UACGGAGGAUCCAAGCGUUAUCCGGAUUUAUUGGGUUUAAAGGGUGCGUAGGCGGCCUAUUAAGUCAGGGGUGAAAGACGGUAGCUUAACUAUCGCAGUGCCUUUGAUACUGAUGGGCUUGAAUGUACUUGAGGUAGGCGGAAUGUGACAAGUAGCGGUGAAAUGCAUAGAUAUGUCACAGAACACCAAUUGCAAAGGCAGCUUACUAAAGUAUGAUUGACGCUGAGGCACGAAAGCAUGGGGAUCAAACAGG
rnacentral:rRNA from 1 species